GUGGUUUGUGGUUAGAGCAUUUGCUUCAGAUGCAAGAGGUCGUGGGUUCGAACUCCAGCCAAGUCA